GACGAACGCUGGCGGCGUGCUUAACACAUGCAAGUCGAACGGGAAGGCCCUGCUUUUGUGGGGUUCUCGAGUGGCGAACGGGUGAGUAACACGUGAGUAACCUGCCCUUGACUUUGGUGUAACUUCACGAAACUGGGGCUACUACCGUAUAGCAUCCCCCGCUCCAUGGUGGGCGUUGGAAAGUCUCGGCGGGUGGGGAUGGACUGGCGGCUUAUCAGCUUGUUGGUGGGGUAGUGGAUUACCCAGGCUUUGACGGGUCGCCGGCCUGUGAGGGUGAACGGCGACAUGGGGACUGAGAUACGGCGCAGACGCGUACGGUAGACAGCAGGGGGGAGUAUUGCACAAUGGGCGGAAGCGGGAGGCAAAGACGCUGCGUGCGGGAAGACGUCCUUCGGGUUGUGAACCGCUUUAGCCUGAGACGACGCGGUAGUGACGGUAAUGGGUAAAGAAGCACCGGCUAACUACGUG
rnacentral:rRNA from 1 species